rnacentral:rRNA from 1 species
AACGAACGCUGGCGGCGUGCCUAAUACAUGCAAGUCGAACGAGAAUAUGGGGCAACCCAUUAGUAAAGUGGCAGACGGGUGAGUAAUACAUAGGUAACCUACCUCAAUGUUGGGGAUAACCUUCCGAAAGGAGGGCUAAUACCGAAUAAGACCACAGGAACUACGGUUCCAGGGGUUAAAGGCGGCUUCGGCUGUCGCAAUGAGAUGGGCUUAUGCAGCAUCAGCUAGUUGGUAAGGUAAUGGCUUACCAAGGCUUUGACGCUUAACUGAUCUGAGAGGUUGAUCAGUCACACUGGAACUGAGACACGGUCCAGACUCCUACGGGAGGCAGCAGUAGGGAAUAUUGCGCAAUGGAGGAAACUCUGACGCAGCGACGCCGCGUGGGUGAUGAAGGUUUUCGGAUCGUAAAGCCCUGUCGGAGGGGAAGAACACGGUAGUGUUAACACCACUACCGCUUGACGGUACCCUCAAAGGAAGCACCGGCUAACUACGUGCCAGCAGCCGCGGUAAAG